rnacentral:lncRNA from 1 species
CCAGCACACAGCCAAGGGCGGUAGCCUCUCCUCACGUUGUCACCUGGUACUUUUCUGAGACUGACAUCUGAGGACAAAGCUCUGGGCAAUGGAGACCGUGCAGGUGGAUGAGCAACCCAGAAAGGUGAAGAAGGAAGAAGAGAACUGUGUGGGUGCAGACAGUGUUACUGCCUGCUCCUGGACCGCUUCUCCACGCCUCGUAGUGAGUGUAAAGAUCUGCCUUCAGUUUAUGAAAAUCCAGAAUGAGAAUGACAUAUCUACAGUGGAGAUAUCGUUUACUUUUCUAUUAGUGGCCUCUUCAAAAGAUGCCUUUCAUCAAUCUUUAUACCCUGUUUAUCUAGUGAGGGAACUAGGCUCAUGAUCAUGAUGGGGAGCUGGUAACUCUAGUUAGGAGCACUGG